rnacentral:rRNA from 1 species
UACGUAGGGCGCAAGCGUUGUCCGGAAUUAUUGGGCGUAAAGAGCUCGUAGGCGGUUUGUCGCGUCUGCUGUGAAAACCUAAGGCUCAACCUCGGGCCUGCAGUGGGUACGGGCAGACUAGAGUGCGGUAGGGGAGAUUGGAAUUCCUGGUGUAGCGGUGGAAUGCGCAGAUAUCAGGAGGAACACCAAUGGCGAAGGCAGAUCUCUGGGCCGUAACUGACGCUGAGGAGCGAAAGCAUGGGGAGCGAACAGG